rnacentral:rRNA from 1 species
CGGACGGGUGAGUAAUGUCUGGGAAACUGCCCGAUGGAGGGGGAUAACUACUGGAAACGGUAGCUAAUACCGCAUAACGUCGCAAGACCAAAGAGGGGGACCUUCGGGCCUCUUGCCAUCGGAUGUGCCCAGAUGGGAUUAGCUAGUAGGUGGGGUAACGGCUCACCUAGGCGACGAUCCCUGCUGGUCUGAGAGGAUGACCAGCCACACUGGAACUGAGACACGGUCCAG